UGCUCUGUGAUUUCGCCCUCAACAGGCAUAUACGCUAUUCUGAUUCAUUACAUGAGUGGAUAACUUUUGAUAGCUGAGAGCU